UUUAUAAAGUAUAAAAUAUUUACAAAUUUAGAAUUACCAAAUCUAACCCGAGGGGUAGCUCAGUUCUUCAAUGGUCACCAAUUCGAGUCCGGGUCAUUGAGGUGAGUACCGGCUGUAAACUUGAAAGCCCGUGGCCCGUGGAAUUAGUGGGAUGUGCCAAAAAAAAAAAAGAAGAAGAAGAAAAAUAAAGAAAAAGAAAAAAGAAAAAAGAAAAAAAAGAAAAGGAAAAAGAAUUACCAAAUCCAGACCCUUCCCAACAUCCCUCUUCAUCACUAAAAGUUGCAGGAUUGUUAAAUUUUCAUAUCCUAAUUUCUAAUUAUAGGCAAAGAAAUUAACCCCCCACUAAUGUCAGAUUAUAGAGAGUGAGAAACCAAUUAUUAUAAGACCUAAAGGAAGAGGAUGUAUCUGAUCAGAAUAACUAGCAAUCCUGUAGAUCAGUUCUCUAUGCAGAACAAGAGAAACGAUAAAUAUGAUGUAAAAGGUAAGAAGAAGAUUAACAUUGUAUCAUCGCCAACCAAAAAUCUCCAUCCUAGAAUAGAA
rnacentral:lncRNA from 1 species